GCCGGGAUGGCGGAAUAGGUAGACGCACGGGACUCAAAAUCCCGCGCCGCAAGGCGUGCCGGUUCGAUUCCGGCUCCCGGCA
rfam:Herbaspirillum seropedicae SmR1, complete genome.